CAAUCUGAAACAACAGAUACUACUAAAAAGCCUAACAUAUCCUUCCUUUCAAGAAAACCAUUCCAUUUUUGGGCGAUUUCAGCUGUGUGAGAAGGGAAAAGAAUUUAUUAUUGUUCCAUCAAAGUGGAAAAGAAAUGGAAGUUGAAAGGCAAGGCAUAAUGAUAGAACAUAAGCACAGACAAUUCAUGCAGGGCAGAUUAUCCAAUUUUUUCACCCGAUUAUACACAUUGGUUUUGUUCAAAAUUUGGCAAAGGCAAAAAUACAUUACCUAAUUCGACUGCAUCAACACAAACAUAAAUAUCAUAUCCCUCUUC
rnacentral:misc_RNA from 1 species